UACGUAGGGAGCAAGCGUUGUCCGGAAUCAUUGGGCGUAAAGAGCGCGUAGGCGGUCCGGUAAGUCGGUUGUGAAAACUGGGGGCUCAACCCUCAGACGCCGACCGAUACUGUCGGGCUAGAGUCCGGAAGAGGCGAGUGGAAUUCCUGGUGUAGCGGUGAAAUGCGCAGAUAUCAGGAGGAACACCUGUGGCGAAGGCGUCCAUCUGGCCCGUUACUGACGCUGAGGCGCGAAAGCUAGGGGAGCAAACGGG
rnacentral:rRNA from 1 species